rfam:Exophiala dermatitidis NIH/TT8656 mitochondrion, whole genome shotgun sequence.
CGGGCUAGAGCCUGGUUGGUUUGGCGCCUCAUUUGGGUUGAGGAUCUUCUAAGUUCGAAUCUUAGUAGCCCGA